GCGAGCGAAAAGAAAAAAGUUCAGCACUAAGUCAUUUUGUCUUUAUGGCAAAUAUGAGAUGCAGUGUAUGGAACAUCUAUAAUCUAAUAUGAGAAAUUAAUGAUUUAAGUCCUUCUUAAAUGAGGCCAUUUACCCAUAGAGGGUGCCAGGCCCGUGUAACAUUAAUGAUUAUUAGAAGAUGUUUCCAAAGAGUCGUGUUGCUUGAUAGUGCAGCACUAAGUUGGUGGUAAACUCCAUCUAAAACUAAAUAUAACCAUGAGACCGAUAGUAAACAAGUACCGUGAGGGAAAGUUGAAAAGAACUCUGAAUAGAGAGUUAAAUAGUACGUGAAACUGCUUAGAGGUUAAGCCCGAUGAACCUGAAUAUCCAUUAUGAAAAAUACAACAUUAUAUAUCUAUGAUAUUAAUAGUAUAUUAUGGAAAUAGUGUGCAUUUUUUUCAUAUAAGGACAUUGUAAUCUAUUAACAUAUAUUUAUAUAUUUAUCAAAAAGUCAUUGGGUAUAAGUUUAUUUGAAUUGAUUUGUAUUUAUACAUUUUAAUGAAAAUAAAUACCUAUGAUUUGAUAAAGUGUUGAUAGAUUUUGUAAUAUAGUGCUUAAAUUUAUUUUAAUAAAUUUUGUAAUAAUAUAAUCAUCUUAAUGAUUUUUAUAUUUAUUACAUGCACUAAUAUGAUUAACAAUGCGAUAGAUUCAGGAUACCUUCGGGACCCGUCUUGAAACACGGACCAAGGAGUCUAACAUAUGUGCAAGUCAUUGGGAUUAAUUUAAUUUAAACCCAAAGGCGUAAGUAACUUAAAUUUUUAAUAUAUGGGAUUAGUUAUUAAUUUAUUUAUAAAUUAUUAAUUCAAUCCCGGGGCGUUCUAUAUAGUUAUGUUAUUUAUAAUAUUUAUAUUAUUUAUAACCUCUAACUGGAGCGUACCUUGAGCAUAUAUGCUGUGACCCGAAAGAUGGUGAACUAUACUUGAUCAGGUUGAAGUCAGGGGAAACCCUGAUGGAAGACCGAAACAGUUCUGACGUGCAAAUCGAUUGUCAGAAUUGAGUAUAGGGGCGUAAGACUAAUCGAACCAUCUAGUAGCUGGUUCCCUCCGAAGUUUCCCUCAGGAUAGCUGGUGCAUUUAAAAAUUAUGUAAAAUAAUCCUAUCUGGUAAAGCGAAUGAUUAGAGGCCUUAGGGUCGAAACGACCUUAACCUAUUCUCAAACUUUAAAUGGGUAAGAACCUCACCUUUCUUGAUAUGAAGGUUGAGGUUGUGAUAUAAUGUGCCCAGUGGGCCACUUUUGGUAAGCAGAACUGGCGCUGUGGGAUGAACCAAACGUAAUGUUACGGUGCCCAAAUUAACAACUCAUACAGAUACCAUGAAAGGCGUUGGUUGCUUAAAACAGCAGGACGGUGGACAUGGAAGUCGUAAUCCGCUAAGGAGUGUGUAACAACUCACCUGCCGAAGCAACUAGCCCUUAAAAUGGAUGGCGCUUAAGUUGUAUACCUAUACAUUACCGCUAAAGUAAAUGAUUUAUAUUCAAAUGAAUUUUAAAUUUUUAAACUUUAGUGAGUAGGAGGGUACAAUGGUGUGCAUAGAAGUGUUUGGCGUAAGCCUGCAUGGAGCCGCCAUUGGCACAGAUCUUGGUGGUAGUAGCAAAUAAUCGAAUGAGAUCUUGGAGGACUGAAGUGGAGAAGGGUUUCGUGUGAACAGUGGUUGAUCACGAGUUAGUCGGUCCUAAGUUCAAGGCGAAAGCCGAAAAUUUUUCAGUUAUAAAUAAAUUUAAUCAUGUAUACAUGGAAGGGUGUAAAUAUUAUGUGGAAGUAUAUUGUAAUAAUAUAUGGAAGGGUAAUAUACAUGUGGAAAUGUAUACAAAAAAUUGUAAUUAAACACUGAAUUAUUUUUGAACGAAAGGGAAUACGGUUCCAAUUCCGUAACCUGUUGAGUAUCCGUUUGUUAUUAAAAAUGGGCCUUGUGCUCAUCCUGGUAACAGGAACGACCAUAAAGAAGCCGUCGAGAGAUAUCGGAAGAGUUUUCUUUUCUGUUUUAUAGUCGUACUACCAUGGAAGUCUUUCGAAGAGAGAUAUGGUAGAUGGACUAGAAGAGCAUGACAUUUACUGUUGUGUCGAUAUUUUCUCCUCGGACCUUGAAAAUUUAUGGUGGGGUCACGCAAACUUCUCAACAGGCCGUACCGAUAUCCGCAGCUGGUCUCCAAGGUGAAGAGUCUCUAGUCGAUAGAAUAAUGUAGGUAAGGGAAGUCGGCAAAUUAGAUCCGUAACUUCGGGAUAAGGAUUGGCUCUGAAGAUUGAGAUAGUCGGGCUUGAUUGGGAAGCAAUAAUAUGGUUUAUGUACUCGUUCUGGAUAAAUAGAGAUUUUCGGAUCUUGUUCCCCGGAUAGUAGUUACGUAACCAAUUGUGGAACUUUCUUGCUAAAAUUUUUAUUGAAUUAUCGAAAGAUAUGUUCUUUAUAAAUUAUAACGAUUAUCAAUUAACAAUCGAUUCAGAACUGGCACGGACUUGGAGAAUCCG
rnacentral:rRNA from 1 species